rnacentral:rRNA from 1 species
CCUACGGGUGGCAGCAGUGAGGAAUAUUGGUCAAUGGACGAGAGUCUGAACCAGCCAAGUCGCGUGAAGGAUGACUGCCCUAUGGGUUGUAAACUUCUUUUAUAAAGGAAUAAAACGAGGCACGUGUGCCUUUUUGCAUGUGCUUUAUGAAUAAGGAUCGGCUAACUCCGUGCCAGCAGCCGCGGUAAUACGGAGGAUCCGAGCGUUAUCCGGAUUUAUUGGGUUUAAAGGGAGCGUAGAUGGGUUGUUAAGUCAGUGGUGAAAGUUUGCGGCUCAACCGUAAAAUUUCAAUUGAUACUGGCAGUCUUGAGUACAGUUGAGGUAGGCGGAAUUCGUGGUGUAGCGGUGAAAUGCUUAGAUAUCACGAAGAACCCCGAUGGCGAAGGCAGCUUACUAAACUGUGACUGACAUUGAUGCUCGAAAGUGUGGGGAUCAAACAGGAUUAGAUACCCGAGUAGUC